GUGGUCAGAGAUUAGAAGGAAGAGUGAUGGAGGAUUACUACGUUUGAUAUGUGUGUUGAUUUUGCUUUGUGUUUGAUUUUCUUCGUUUUCUUACUUUGUUGCUGCUGAUUUUUUUUGCUCGGGCGUUACUAUUUUUUCGGUAUUUUAGCAACUUUAUCAAUUUGAGAAUUCCUGUAUAAUUGUUGGUAUCAGGAUUUGAUCUUGUCCAUUGCCUAUCAAUUUGAGAAAUUGUAUACGCAAGUUGAACUGCGUCGCUACUCGCUAUAUUCGUCUCAUUUUCUGUAAAUUAUUAUUCAACACUCGUAUCUAUUGUAUUCGAUUGACCAGAUAAUACCUUAUUGAGAAGCUGUUCUUUUAUGGAGUAUUUGUUCACCGUUUUUCUGUAUUUUAGGGGUCUCUGCAUUUCUUAAAUGGAUGAGAUACAUUGAAUCAUGCAGUGACCUAGAAAUUUGUCGAUUAAUUUCUUUGAUCGAUUCUAGUUCGAGGUGAAUUGUGAUACUGUAACGUAUAGUUUCCAAGGAGCUCAAUCCCAUUGAUGAAACGCUUCAAUUCUAUUUAUGAACAAAAAGGACUGAAAUUCAUUCAUGCAUUUAUCUAGUCUCUAAGACCAGGGGCAUUUUUAUUUUUAUGAGAAUCAAAAUUGUUAAUGCAUUUAUCUUUAUCUUGUUGAUGGAACUACCAUUAUAUGCAGAUUGUGGUCCAAGGUUGGACAAAUCACUGCAUCCACGUAAAGCACUAUGCUUUGCUUUAUUCUUUUGCACCUCGAGGCAUAAGCUGAAAGAUCGAUUGCUUGUUGAUAAUCUCAUCUCGCAACCACUUACCAUGGUGCUUAUGCAGAACCUCUCUAGUGGAUUCUUGGGUCCUAUCUAUGGCCUUGACCAUUUGAAACAGCAGAUAAGGCCAAGCGAAGAAUCUACAUGAGAUGUGGCGAUAGCCGAUGCACUGAGGCCUUUGUUGGAAAGAAGCUCAUGCAGAUUGGAGGAUUGACCUUGGCUAGGGCAAGAAUGGAGGACGGGAGAAUCCACAGUCCAUCCCCACAAAUUAAACCCGAUGCAACGGCUGGGAUCAUGAGGCCAGCCUUUGU